CACACACACCACGGAGAAGAUUUGGAUAGGGGGAUCCAUCUUUUCCUGGACAUGGGCAACCUGGGACCUGGAGGGGGACAGGAGCAGAAGUUUUUUUCCAGGAGGAAUCUGGCAGGACAUUUGUGUUGCUGGGGAAGAAGCACAGAGGUCUUGUUUAAGAUUGGUGGGGUUUUCACUCCCUGGCUAUCCAAAUUUCUUUUCCCUGGACAUCAUACCUGCUGCUGAAAUCCAACAGGAUGCUUGCUUUCCUGCUUUUCUUUCUGUAAUCCCCUAGGGAGUCCUAUCUUGUCAUUCCCCCUUUCGAAGUGGGAACACGGAUAUUGCCCACAUGAGAGAAA
rnacentral:lncRNA from 10 species